rnacentral:lncRNA from 1 species
UCCUUUUGGUCCGAAAUAGAAUAGAGCCUCAGAUACCUACUUCUAAAACUACUAUCUCCUCUCCAUAUGUCACCCCAAAAACUAGAGUUGAGACCAUUACCAACUUGUCGCUCCAACCCCGAAUUGAACCAAUUAAGCUCCCCAAAAUCACCAAGCUUAAUUAGGCCCUUCCACCAAAUAGAAGCCCAUCUCGGCUCCCCUCUAGACAAUCCCAUCAAACCUCC